rnacentral:rRNA from 1 species
CAAGUCGAACGGCAGCACGGGGGUAACCCUGGUGGCGAGUGGCGAACGGGUGAGGAAUGCACCGGAACGUGUCUUCAAGUGGGGGAUAACGCAUCGAAAGGUGUGCUAAUACCGCAUAAUCUCUGAGGAGAAAAGCAGGGGAUCGCAAGACCUUGCGCUUUGGAGCGGCCGAUGCCUGAUUAGCUUGUUGGUGAGGUAAAAGCUCACCAAGGCUUCGAUCAGUAGCUGGUCUGAGAGGACGACCAGCCACACUGGGACUGAGACACGGCCCAGACUCCUACGGGAGGCAGCAGUGGGGAAUUUUGGACAAUGGGGGCAACCCUGAUCCAGCCAUGCCGCGUGAGUGAAGAAGGCCUUCGGGUUGUAAAGCUCUUUCAGCCGGAACGAAACGGUUACGGUUAAUACCCGUGACUACUGACGGUACCGGAAGAAGAAGCACCGGCUAACUACGUGCCAGCAGCCGCGGUAAUACGUAGGGUG